rnacentral:rRNA from 1 species
UACAGAGGGUGCAAGCGUUAAUCGGAAUUACUGGGCGUAAAGCGUGCGUAGACGGUUAUGUAAGUCAGAUGUGAAAGCCCCGGGCUCAACCUGGGAAUUGCAUUUGAGACUGCAUAGCUAGGGUGCGGAAGAGGGAAGCGGAAUUUCCGGUGUAGCGGUGAAAUGCGUAGAUAUCGGGAGGAACACCAGUGGCGAAGGCGACUUCCUGGCCUGUUCUUGACGCUGAGGCGCGAAAGCUAGGGGAGCAAACGGG